CGGUCGCAUGCAAGCCGUCAGAGCCUGUGUGGUGAUGGCGUGCCUUUUGAAGAAUGAGCCUGCGAGUUAGUGAUGCGUGGCGAGGUUAACCCGUGGUGGGGGAGUCGUAGCGAAAGCGAGUCCGAUAAGGGCGUGAGUCGCGUGUUCUAGACCCGAAGCGGUGUGAUCUAUCCAUGGCCAGGAUGAAGCGUCGGUAAGACGUCGUGGAGGUCCGAACCCACUUCAGUUAAAAAUGGAGGGGAUGAGCUGUGGAUAGGGGUGAAAGGCCAAUCAAACACCGUGAUAGCUGGUUCUCCCCGAAAUGCAUUUAGGUGCAGCGUUGCGUGGUU
rnacentral:rRNA from 14 species